CCGCCGGGCCGGGCGCCCUCGCCGCCCUCCGGCUGCCGCGCCGCUCCUUCUCUGCGCGCUGAGGCCGCGCCACCCCACGGGCGGUGGCCGGAGCAGUGAGGCCACCGAGCCCCGCGCCCCCUGCGCGCUCGGAAAGGGCUUCGGCCCUCAGCGAGUUGGUGGCCCCGACGCGGGAAGAGCCGCGCCUAGGACGGUGCGUCUGGCCUCUCCCGCGGCUUCUCGCCCUGACAAGUUUGAACAAUGAUCACUGUCAACCCAGAUGGGAAGAUAAUGGUCAGAAGAUGCCUGGUCACUCUGAGACCCUUCCGGCUUUUUGUCCUGGGCAUCGGCUUCUUCACCGUCUGCUUCCUGAUGACCUCUCUGGGAGGCCAGUUCUCGGCACGGCGCCUGGGGGACUCGCCCUUCACCAUCCGCACGGAAGUGCUGGGUGGCCCUGAGUCCCGUGGCGUCCUCCGCAAGAUGAGCGACCUGCUGGAGCUGAUGGUGAAGCGCAUGGACACGCUGGCCAGGCUGGAGAACAGCAGCGGGCUGCACCCGGAGGCCGGCGACCCCCACGCGGCUGCCCACAGGUGAGGGCCGCGGGGCACUGUGCCUGGCUGUGCUGGGUGGAGGCCAGCUGCUGGGCCUGCUGGUCACCCGCUUUUUGUUGAUCUGGGGAAAACAAAGAAUGAAAAAAAACCAAACCUUCCACGACCUGAGGAGGUCACAGCCCCCAGGACCCGAGGGGAGCACCAUCGGAGUCGUGUCUGCCGCCCGUUAAACAAGACCACGGUGAGACCGGAGGCGCUAACUCCCUUCCUGUCCACUCGGCCCGGCCACACGCACCUGGUCAUACGCACACCCGGCCACACGCACACCCGGCCACACACACACCC
rnacentral:lncRNA from 1 species